UUGGUUUGUUUUAAAUUGACCAUCGGGGGUGACUGAUUGAUCACGUGCUAGUAUUUGAAGUCUCCACUAUUUUGAAUUUUUCCUCUAGAAGAUCAGACAUGCAGCCUCGCCUUGACCCCCCCCCGCAAAAAAAUCAUUAAAAUAGGAAUGCAGCUAACCUAUCCUGCUCCGCCACGUCACGACGUCAUGCUUUACGUAGUAAAAUAUGGAGAAAGGGGGAGGGGGGCGUUUUCUCUCCUCCCUUUGCCUCCCAUCUCCAUUUCCAAAAUGGACAAAAUGGAUGUUUGGUAACAUUCCUCUAACGGUGCCUGUGCGCGGAGCACUCACUUGCCUCCCCCAGGUCAAACUAGGCCUCUGCGAGACUCCUCCAAAGGUCCCCAUUUCCCUGCCAGAGGUAUUGGGGCGGGGGGGUGGCAAGCAGACGUAUCUAUUUAACCCCACGUAAAGACAACGUGACCAGCAAGACUCCGCUUCCAAUGCCUCUUUGCAGCCCUCUCCUGAGGCGAGAGCUGCUGCUGGAUUUGUCCUUCCCCGGGUGGAUUUAUUUGGUUUUUCUUGCUUCCUUCGCAGGCAUCGUUUUGAGCUUCCUUUCUCUACCCUAAACCCUGGGAGGCUGGUUUUUCCCUCUCUCCCUUUCUCUCGGCUGAAGCUUUCAUAGCUUUGACGGUAGUUGAUGUGUGUGGUACCUAAAUCAUUGAGGAUGCAGAUGUGGGGCGUGUAGGAGGUAAAUACCCCCCCACACACUCCCCUUUCAUCUUGUCUUUCUGGGUUGUUUUUUUCUCUCUCCUCUUCUCCUGCUCAUCAAUUCACUCGCUGACUGAUGCACCGUGAGAAUUGCUGGACCGCCUGCCUUUGCGGGCAGCCUGAAAGUUACAGACACUCCUGGAGGGGGAGGCGGGGGAAGCGAGCACUCCGCUCCCAGAGACCCCUUCCUCAUUUAGCACCACCAGCCACAAGUUUUGAACUUGGAAUAAAAGGGCCGGAAGAACAACCCGAGCCCCAGCCCAGCCCAGGCACCUUUCAGAGCUGUUCAUCUCCGCUUAGCAAGUUGUCUUCUAAAUUACAGGGACCCUGCGAGGCUGGUGCUCGCUGCAGCGUCUCUGCCUGCACUGGUGGGGGGUUUCGGAUUAAACUGGGGCUUCCCAUGUGAUUUCCCCCCCCCAUCGAACUCAGUGUUGGGGGGGGGCGGGGGCGGACACCAAAGGCGUGAACACAAAUCCUGCCUGCAGAUCAGGCCGAGCUCGGAACAAUGGAGCCCAAUUCAUUGUGGACAAUGACCGCUGGGUCUGCUACUUGGAGUGCUGGACACGUUCGCCACAGCUCGGGCUGCUCUGGGGGACCGACAACAGCGGAGUCUGGGCAGAGACGCUCCCUCCUCGCCUCUCGCUGGAGCUGUGAGAAAAUCCUUUUGCAGAAGAGGAAGAAAACCAAACCACGGCCACCUCGGAUGGCUGCAGUUCUGCACCAGUCCCAGCCGGGGAAGAGGGAUGGAAAGAAGCAUGCCUAGUUCAGGGGGGAAAUAAAGAACAUUGGAACACGCAGGCUUUGAACUUAGCAUAGCUGAGAAGGUUCUGUUCUCUCAGCUGGAAUGCGACCUACAACACGGCACGUAAGAACGGCCUAGAUGUGUGUGUGCCUGCAACGCACGGUCAAGAUGCAAACUUUCCACAGGCAUCGAUGGGGACAGGAGAAAACAAACUCAAUCUGGCCCAGGAUCUGCAUAGAGACAGCGAGGACUCGACAGAGACAGGUUACACCUCCCCAGGCCUAGGGUGGGCUGGACUUUUCCUGCCUAGGAGGAAUUGCCUGGUCAGGAAGAGAUUAAUGUCAUUGUCUUCUACCUGCAAUGCUUUGAGUGGCUCUCGAUGACUGGCUGGCUUGGCUGUAUAACUCCAAGGCAAGGAUGAAAGUCUGGGGGAUCCAGGGAGGGAAGGAGCUACCUUACUGCCCACAUGGACGCUAGAGGCGCCUGGCUGUCUUGCAGAAGGAAAUUCUGCCAUCCCGCUGGCCUGACCCUAUCCCAGAGGGCUCCGCCAACCGAUUCCAUCCACGUCCGGGGGUCAGGCAGGCCUGGAAGGCGACUCACUUAGCGACGGAGAUUCAUGCUGCGCAUCUCACGCCACCACAACUGGGCUUCUCCGGGGGCGAAGUGGCUUGAUCAGAAGAUGUGAUGUUGGAUGAGCACAAAAGCCACAAGAACGGCCCGGUAUUUGUAAGAGGUUCCAUCUGAAGAUUUGUUUCCUUUCCGAAAUAAAAACAGUGACUAGCGUGUGGAAAGCGUUGAUGGGAGGGGACGGUCAUUCUUUUUGUAAAUGGCCAAAAAACAAACAAACAAACAAACAAACGGUUGGCCAGCUGCAUUCUCGGUAGUAAGACAAGCGGUGCAUCUCCCUCUGAGCAGAAGCACCAAGGUAAACAGAGUCAAAUCCAGUGCGGGGGGUUGCAUUCUGCCUCCUAAAAUUCCCCCUGUGGUUUCCACUGGAUACGGAAUUAGUCUUCACUUCCUGUUCUAUGGGGUUGUAUAGUUGUCAUGAACCCCACUUGGGCCACUGGUGGGAUUUCAACCCAUAAACAGUGAUUAAUGCUUAAUCUCAAAGACUAAAUCCAACAGCUGGAAGCCGGGGCAGACUGAGUCUUUUAUGUGGACUAGUCACUAGAAGGUGAUAAAAGCCCCACACCUACAAGCACGGGUUACAUAGCAUUGCUACGUGCUGUUACACAGAUACUGUGUCCCACCCCGAAGGCAUGUCUAAUUUGGGUAUCAGUUUGUAACGCGACUUGGGACCCUAUGGAAUGAAAGACAGUAUUGGCUGUGUAAAUUCUUAGGUGAGAUGUGUAUUAAAAUAUGAAUUUGACUCAUA